rnacentral:rRNA from 1 species
AUUGAACGCUGGCGGCAUGCCUUACACAUGCAAGUCGAACGGCAGCACGGGAGCAAUCCUGGUGGCGAGUGGCGAACGGGUGAGUAAUAUAUCGGAACGUGCCCAGUCGUGGGGAUAACGUAGCGAAAGCUACGCUAAUACCGCAUACGAUCUAUGGAUGAAAGCGGGGGAUCGCAAGACCUCGCGCGAUUGGAGCGGCCGAUAUCAGAUUAGGUAGUUGGUGAGGUAAAGGCUCACCAAGCCGACGAUCUGUAGCUGGUCUGAGAGGACGACCAGCCACACUGGGACUGAGACACGGCCCAGACUCCUACGGGAGGCAGCAGUGGGGAAUUUUGGGACAAUGGGCGCAAGCCUGAUCCAGCAAUGCCGCGUGCAGGAUGAAGGCCUUCGGUUGUAAC